AAGAUAAAGAAGGUUUUAAGGCUGUACCUUUUGUAUCAGGGAGAUCUAAAAGUGCAAAGAUGAAAUAAUCGAUUUAACGGGAUUUUUUAAAUAUUGACUGAAAGUUAAAUUAUUCAGUAUUAGUGUGUAUGAGGUGAAAUGUGUGCGACUGUUAGAGUAUCUAAUUAAUUUUAUGCGUGAAAGUUUAAGUUUUUGUAGAUCUAUAUAGACUAUUUUUUAUGAAAACUAGGGUUUAAAUUAUCUAAGUUAGUAUAUUGUUAUAUAAAAUUUUAAUUAUGUGCGGUUAGUAAAGUAGAAUUAGUAAAUUAAUUUGUGAUUUUUUUGUCUUAAGGUAAUAAUGGGUUUAUUGAGUAUAGUUUGGGGGUUUAAAAAAACUAAAAGUUGGUCUGAUAGUUUACCAAAAACAUCUCUAUUAGGUUAAAAGAAAGUAAAGCCUGCCCGGUGAAAAUAUGUUUAACGGCUGCGGUAUUUUGACUGUGCUAAGGUAGCAUAAUCAAUUGUUUUUUAAUUAAAAACUGGAAUGAAGGGUUAAACAGACUAAGAUAGUUUGUGUAGUCUAAUUAGUAAAUUAAAGUUAAGGUAAGAAUUCUUUGAUUUUCUAGGGGACGAUAAGACCCUAGAAGCUUUAAAAAAGAAAAAUUUUUAGUUAGGGCAUGUAUUUUUUACUGGGGCGGUACUAGUGUUUUAACUAUUAGCUAUACAGGUUGAUCUUUAAUAUAAAGAUAGUUCGGUUAAGUUACUCUAGGGAUAACAGUGCAGUAUUUUUGGAAAGGUCUUAUUGAUAAAAAUGUUCGCAACCUCGAUGUUGAAUUAAGAUAUCUAUAUGUAGAAGCAGACAUAGUAGAAGGUUUGUUCAACCUUU
rnacentral:rRNA from 1 species